rfam:Desulfobulbaceae bacterium DB1 DB1_contig_16, whole genome shotgun sequence.
UUCGGUGGCCAUUGCGAGAAGGAUACACCCGUUCCCAUUUCGAACACGGAAGUUAAGCUUCUCAGCGCCGAUGGUACUGCCAGGGAGACUUGGUGGGAGAGUAGGUCGCUGCCGAAU